rnacentral:rRNA from 1 species
AGCUUGCUCUUUAACCUAGUGAGUGGCGGACGGGUGAGUAACACGUGGGUAACCUGCCCAUUAGAGGGGGAUAACACUUGGAAACAGGUGCUAAUACCGCAUAAUUGUUUUAGCCGCAUGGCUGAGAUAUGAAAGACGCUUUCGGGUGUCACUAAUGGAUGGACCCGCGCUGCAUUAGUUAGUUGGUGAGGUAAUGGCUCACCAAGACCGUGAUGCAUAGCCGACCUGAGAGGGUGAUCGGCCACACUGGGACUGAGACACGGCCCAGACUCCUACGGGAGGCAGCAGUAGGGAAUCUUCGGCAAUGGACGAAAGUCUGACCGAGCAACGCCGCGUGAGUGAAGAAGGUUUUCGGAUCGUAAAACUCUGUUGUUAGAGAAGAACAAGUGGGAGAGUAACUGUUCCCACCUUGACGGUAUCUAACCAGAAAGCCACGGCUAACUACGUGCCAGCAGCCGCGGUAAUACGUAGGUGGCAAGCGUUGUCCGGAUUUAUUGGGCGUAAAGCGAGCGCAGGUGGUUCUUUAAGUCUGAUGUGAAAGCCCCCGGCUCACCCGGGGAGGGUCAUUGGAAACUGGGGAACUUGAGUGCAGAAAAGGAGAGUGGAAUUCCAUGUGUAGCGGUGAAAUGCGUAGAUUUAUGGAGGAACACCAGUGGCGAAGGCGACUCUCUGGUCUGUAACUGACACUGAGGCUCGAAAGCGUGGGGAGCAACAGGAUUAGAUACCCUGGUAGUCCACGCCGUACACGAUGAGUGCUAAGUGUUGGAGGGUU